rnacentral:rRNA from 1 species
CACGUAGGGCGCAAGCGUUGUCCGGAAUUAUUGGGCGUAAAGAGCUCGUAGGCGGUCUGUCGCGUCUGCUGUGAAAUCCCGAGGCUCAACCUCGGGCCUGCAGUGGGUACGGGCAGACUAGAGUGCGGUAGGGGAGAUUGGAAUUCCUGGUGUAGCGGUGGAAUGCGCAGAUAUCAGGAGGAACACCGAUGGCGAAGGCAGAUCUCUGGGCCGUAACUGACGCUGAGGAGCGAAAGCGUGGGGAGCGAACAGG